rnacentral:rRNA from 1 species
GACGAACCGUGCAAACGUUGUUCGGAAUCACUGGGCUUAAAGGGCGCGUAGGCGGGCAGGCAAGUCGAAGGUGAAAUCCCACGGCUCAACCGUGGAAGUGCCCCCGAUACUGCCUGUCUCGAGGGAGAUAGGGGCGUGCGGAACUUCCGGUGGAGCGGUGAAAUGCGUAGAUAUCGGGAGGAACACCAGUGGCGAAGGCGACUACCUGGCCUGUUCUUGACGCUGAGGCGCGAAAGCUAGGGGAGCAAACGGG